rnacentral:lncRNA from 1 species
CAGCUAAAAAAAUUAUCACUGAAAAUAUUUUACAAGAGCAUAGUGCAUUUAUCUCCCUUGAAAUUAUUCAAAGAGAAUUAAGUUUAUUCACCAAUGAAAGAAACAGCACGGACAAAUAUUACCACAAAUUGAUACAUUUGAAAAAUACAUUUUGGCAUGUGGUCAUUGUCUAUCAGAAAAUUCAGAUUUGCAUAGGUCAGCAAUCCUGUUGGAUCAAGGGGCGUUAUUGAAGUUCUGGUGCCCUCUAGAGUUCAAAAGUAUGUAUAGGACUGUUAAGACUUUUAUGGCCCCAUAGUCUCCAUGGUGACUCUGGACAACAAGCUUGGGAACCAGUUUGGAGUUGCUUUCAGGAGCCAAUGAUUCACUUAUUAAGGCAAAUUUAUUUUCUGUUUUGGAAGACUUAUUGAGAAAUCUAACUACUACUACAUUUCUUAUAUAAAAAAAACCAAACAGCAAUAUCUCUCCUCAGAGAUGUUUUGAUUGGAUAACACCACCAAUAGAGUUAUGCCGCUUGAUUUUGCUGUGGAACACAAAUGACCUUUUUUGGUUUGUUACUUAUAUAGUAUCCAGGACAUCCCAUCAUGUCCAAGGUGGUGUACAAAGUUUCCUCCACUGCCAAGGUAGAGCAGAUGGAAGCAGAGUUGUCUGUCCAGCUGUCAGCUCUCAGAACUGAAAUAGAGGAGAAUGGAUCUCCCCUGGAAACACCCUCCAAGUCUUACAGCUCAGUUCCAGUUCCUAAAGAUGUAUCGUACUUUCGUAUGGAGAGAGAGCAGGUCCUGAGGAGAGGUCUUCUGGUGGCAAAAGCACUACCAGUGGUGUCUCUGUCUGAUGUGCUACAGAGAGAGCUGCAAAGCUGCCUAAGCCUGGAGUACACACCUGAGAGUCUGCCUCUUCUCCUGCACCAGACCGAUGCUACCAGUUGGCCCAGAUCAAGUACCUGCUGAUGCUGAGAUGGAGAAGGUUCUGUCGCCACUCCCACAUCAUUGAGCAGCUGUAUCCCUUCUACAAGGUAACCUGGCACUUUGAUAUUUAAUAAAUCACCUUAGUUUAUUAUGAGUAAUAGAGGAUAAUCGAUCAAUCAAUACAUCCUUUUUACAUGAACAGUUGAUUUCUGUGGUGUUCCACCGGGAAAGCUAAAUCAAGCACUAAAGUAUUUGAAAGAAAACAAAUACUAUUUGAACCCAGGUCAGGUGUGUUCUU